GCGUACGCUAAAGCUGUGGAGAACCUCCAGCCCUGACAGGCAAAUCUGACCCUCUGAAACUGACCCAGCCACACCUUCCCCGACCACUAAUUUUCCAGGUCCCAUGCCCUCAAGUGCCCACAUUAUUCUGAAAGGACCGAGUGCCACUCCUAAGACUUAACGACUGACACGAAGAACUUCAUGUUCGAAUAACUUCCCUUGUUCCCAGCAUCUGCAGAGUAGCUUCAUGCACUAUGCAUCAACCCAAGUCAUUUGGCUGGUGCUGGCAAAAAGGAAGUCCAAGAAGGAAAACCACAGUGAUGGGAAGAUGGAGAGAUCUGGACAAUGGCAGAAAGCAACCUGAAUGGAAAUGAGUUGCAGAAUUCAAGAGCAUUAAAGGAAACAUUGCAGAAGUAGUUAUUUUUUCAUUGGUUUGCUUACAGGAAAAAAAAAACCAUUCAAGAUUCUGAAAGAGAGGGCCAGUUUCCCUGCAUGCUGUGGCUUGCUGAUGAAGGAAGACUAUUUCCACAUUUCCUACCUGUUUCUGAAGUUGGCAUAUGAUUAAUACACAACAUGAGUUGACUGACUAGCCUGGCAGUACAAACA